CAAGCCAUGUUAAUGUUUUGUUUACCCUGGCUUUUUUUUUAGAAUCCAGAAAACCAAAAGUAGCAUUAGGAGCACGACGCAAAAAAAAAUCAAGCAUGCCCAAGAUCCUUUCAGCCUCCAUUGUAUGAGGUGGAGCAGAUUGUGUGGUUUUUAUCAUUUCUUUAGAUGGAUUUGAGAGAUUGCCAGUCAAAUACCUGGCCAUCUGUCUUUUGAGAACUGUCUCUGUGUAGCUUAUUAAAGCUGAUAAAAUCUUUACCAAAAUAUUUUUAUUUUUUAUUACACGAAGGGAUUGGUGUAUCUUAUCUUUUUUAAUAUUUAAUACUUGACUAAAAAUAUCCACAUCUGUAUAAAGAAUUGAUUCUGGAUUACUUUUGAAGUAAGCUAAUUUCCUUAUUGCUUUCUGGAAAAUGUCACCCUAUUAAAAAAAUAAUUUUUGUACAUUUUUUAAACUAUUUUAUUUGUUUAUUAGAAAACCUUAAAAACUUACAAACUCAAGAUUACUCUUUCCUGUUGCAUUUUUAUAAACCAGACUCAUCCAUGGCCCAAUUAUUAUUUUUCCUAUCAGGCCCAACCCUUGCAGUUGCACAAGCGUUAUAUCAUUACUCAUAUCUUGAAGUAAGAGUUGGCAAAUUUUAUUUUUGGUGUUGCUAGAAUAACGAGAAAAUGUUAAUACAUAGAAUUCUAUUAAAACAAAUAUUCAUCUAAAAAAAACUUACUUUUCAAGAAAGGUUUUUAUAAGUCUUUCGUAUGUAACAACAAUCCCUGCCAUAUGGAACAAAACAUGAAAUCUACUACCAACAUAUCUAAGGAAUAGCCCUGGAGCAACAUUGUUUUUUUUAAGAUAGCUUUUGAAUGCUGCAGGAUCGCCUUUAAAACUAUACCUGAUUUUUAAAGAGCAAAAAAAUUAAAAUUUCAAAUUUUCAAAAUGUGGAAAUAAUAAAGAAAUAAUUGCUCACAAGAAAAUAAAACUAAAAAAAAAAUUUAAAUAAUGAAAGAUAUACAUAUAAAAGAUUACCUUAGCUUAGAAAUAUUUUUGAGGACUGUUGGUACUGAUAAGUACUCAUUUACAUGUUUGUCUAAAACGGUGGUUGCAUCAAACACUACUGUUGCACAUUCACAAUGAAAAAGUGCAUCACCAGCCUGAACCAAUGCUAAAACACCUGGCUCAUAUGCCAUUCGAUUUACUGUGGAUGAGUGAGGUGUUUCUUGCAGUUUUGUGUUGUGUAACAGUUCAGAAAUUUUUUCUAACAAAAAUGAGACGCUUUCCACAGGCACAUUGUUAAUAAUAGCAGCAUAAACACAUUUUCUUAUGGGUAGGUCAUAUGUUUUUAAUUUUUUGGUUUCUAAAAGUAACCUAUUAUCUUUUUUUUUUUCUAAAACAAUACUAGUUAAAAAAUGAUUUUGUUCUACAAGUUGUUUAUUUUCUUGCUCUUUGAUUUUUAUCUGUUCCUGUAAUUCUUUGAUCGCAAUUUUGUGUUUCUUUUCUAUCUUUUUAACAUUUUGUUGCAACUUCGUUCUACUAAUUUUAAGAAUUCUCAAUUCAUUAAUGAAAUCUAGAGAAUGAAACUUAUUCUGUUGAACUGUUUUUUGUUUUUUUUUCUUCUGAAUAUUUCAAUUUCCACAAAUUUAGUGAAAAAUACUGUCUUUUAAAUUUUUUGUUUGUAAGCUUGUUACAGGUCAUUGAUUUUUUCAAAAAACGAACUCUCUGCUGCAAUUUUCUGUUUUUUUCUUGUAAACUACGUAUUUCAUCUUUUUUUAUUUUGCAUGAACCACACUUUACUCUCUGCAUUGUGUCUGAAGCAAUAUUUAAAUCACUUGCAACGUUUAAGUGAAUAAUUGUAUUAGAACUAUUUCUUUUUCUUUCAUAUUUAAAUGGUUGCUGCAAAAAAUUAACAAUAGCAGCCCAUGACUGGAAAAAAUUUUGUAAAUGUCACCAUUUAACAAAGGCUUCGAUUGGCAUUUAUAUGAAUUAAUUAAAACGCAAAUAUCUUUUGCAGUCUUGUGGUCCAUCUAAAGUAAAGAAAAAUA
rnacentral:lncRNA from 1 species